rnacentral:misc_RNA from 1 species
UAGUGCUUGCCUGUGAUCCUAACC